GGGGCUGUCUGGAUUUGACAGCGGGUAGAAGAGGUGUGUAAGCAUGCAGAGCGUGGGUGGCUGGCUCUAUAAUAUCAGACAUCAAAAUUAUAACUGGCGAAAAUAACGUAGCUCUCGCUGCUUAAUCGAAUCAUAGUAGAUCAAGCCUAAUCCAGGUACAAGGUACCAGGACGAGACAUCACCCGGAAGCUGUGGCUUCGAAGCAAUCCGAACCGGUGGUGCAGAAAAAUCGGAACUAGCUGAAAGCUCUCCCCGGGCUGAUGUGAAACUUUAGGGGAUAAGGUUCGGGUUGGUGGCUUCGGUCUUGCCCGGGCACGAAAAUGAAGGCGAAGAUAAGCAUGUAGAAAGCAUAUUGCUUCCUCGUUUGGACCGGGGUUCGACUCCCCGCAGCUCCACAU
rnacentral:tmRNA from 1 species